GACGAACGCUGGCGGCGUGCUUAACACAUGCAAGUCGAACGGAAAGGCCCUGCUUUUGUGGGGUGCUCGAGUGGCGAACGGGUGAGUAACACGUGAGUAACCUGCCCUUGACUUUGGGAUAACUUCAGGAAACUGGGGCUAAUACCGGAUAGGAGCUCCUGCUGCAUGGUGGGGGUUGGAAAGUUUCGGCGGUUGGGGAUGGACUCGCGGCUUAUCAGCUUGUUGGUGGGGUAGUGGCUUACCAAGGCUUUGACGGGUAGCCGGCCUGAGAGGGUGACCGGCCACAUGGGGACUGAGAUACGGCCCAGACUCCUACGGGAGGCAGCAGUGGGGAAUAUUGCACAAUGGGCGGAAGCCGGAGGCAGCAACGCCGCGUGCGGGAGGACGGCCUUCGGGUUGUAAACCGCUUUCGCCUGUGACGAAGCGUGAGUGACGGUAAUGGGUAAAGAAGCACCGGCUAACUACGUG
rnacentral:rRNA from 1 species